UCAAGGUGAAUUAGAAAAACAACAAAACAAAACAAGAUUCAUUUUAACAUCUCAUUUUUCUAUCUCCAACUUUCCCUCCCCUCCUCCCACCCCAGGAAGAAAAGACUACGUUUGUUUCUGGUGAUACAUUCAUUGUAGGUGGGUGGGUGACUUCUAGAAGAGGAAAAUCAAGAAGAUUUGGAGAAGGAGUCUUGGAAGCUCUGGUGAAGUUUUCCAAAACUGGGAAGGACAGAGGCACAGGUCUGCCUGUUCUUUUGCUUUGCCAUUUGUGUGGAUACCUAGUAGAGCAAUUUGGGUGCCAUUCUUUGAGGAAUCCAUUGGAUCUGUCAGAAAGCUGAGGGUCUGCUCAGCCUGUGUUAGUGGAGAAGAGGGAAGGAAACUGGCUGGAGGCCGCUGGACCCACAGAGGACAAUAGACAAUCUCCUGCUGGUUCGAGCUUCCCAGCUGCAUUGUUUACCUAAGCAAGCCUGGGCAAUGGCGGGCGCCCCUCCCCCAGCCUCGCUGCCGCCUUGCAGUUUGAUCUCAGACUGCUGUGCUAGCAAUCAGCGAGACUCCGUGGGCAUAGGACCCUCCGAGCCAGGUGCAGGAUAUAAUCUUGUGGUGCGCCGUUUUUUAAGCCUGUCCGAAAAGCGCAAUAUUCGCGUGGGAGUGACCCGAUUUUCCAGGAUGCCCACUGGAUCCAAAGAGAGAAACUCUAUAGAAUUAUGAUCUAGGUUUGACUGACUCCUGGCAAGAAGCCCUACCCGCCAGCCAAUUUGGAUGAGGAACACAGAAUCACUUGUGGAAUUAAGAGAUAAGGACAGCAAGUAGACCAAACUAUAAGCUGAGGUUCAAGGUGGCAUAGGCUGGGUGCCACAGUGCUGUGUCUCAGGUCACAGGGGUCAUCCAUCUUUCCUUCUAUGUGACUGGUUUGCUCUUGCAUAUCAUGUUUUCCGGUCUUAUGCUCCAGAUCCAUCAUGAGAAGAACAUGCCCUGGAUUCCUGCUAUCCCUUUAGCCAUGGCUCCAAAAUUAACACACACAAGGAAGACCUGAGGUCAAUCCACAGCCUGGAUUCAAGUCACCUAAUACAUAGGAGAAUCAGAGCUACCCAGCCACACUCAAUCUACGUUAACUGAACCUCAGCUGACCUGCAGAUUUAUGAGUAUGAGAAUAAAGGCUUGUUAAUGUAUAUCAUCAAAAUUAGAAAAAUCCUGGAUUUGAAGUCAAGAGACUUAUAUUUGAAUAUCCACUCUGGAAAAGUCAGAUAAGUUCUCUUCUCUCUGACAUUCAGUUUUUUAUUUGUUAAAAGAGGGAAACAAUUCUAGGGCUUUCAUGAUAACAAACAAGAUUAUUGUCUGAAAAAAAAAACUUUGUAAAUAGUAAAGUGAUGUAGAAAUGCAGG
rnacentral:lncRNA from 1 species